ACUUCUUUUUUUUUUUUUUUUGGCAAGAAAAGCAUGCAAUCAUACUUUACAGAGUUAAUCAAGUGAUUUUGUGUCUAUAACAACAACAGGCUUGGGCACACUCAGAUUGUUAAAUGGGUAAGUUUACACGUCAUCAGUUAGAUUAGUUUCCAUUCCCAUAAAUCAAUCUCCCACCCAGCCCCAGACAACCACAAUCACAUCUUAAAGUUAUACCCUCUCAAUAAAAAUUUCAAGCAUUAACCACCAAGGUGUCCCUUCAGAGGCAUUAAUUGGCUGAAUCACAUAAGAAAGAAGGCAGCCUGCCAAUGAAAAAGAUACUAAACACCCAUUUGCUUCAAUUUGAUAAAAGGUCAAUUGAUAUGAUCACAUGCUAAUAAAGCCAACACUUUUUUUUAGAGCUAACCAAAUAAAGCCAACACUUACACCAUAAGAGAACGAAUAAAUUCAAAGUUCCAAAACAUCACAAGGGCAAUUUGAGAACAUUAUUCCUAGAUUUAUCUCUAGGAUAACGUGAUUAUCAGAUUCUACUUGCAUUCAGUUUGGCAAUCAAGGGAAAUAAAGAGAAGAGAAUGGAAAAUAAAAAUUUUGCACUAUGAUACCCUUAGAACAAGGAUCCUUCCUUAUAUUGAUAAGGUGUUUUGUUAGAAAAAAAAAUAUUAUAGCCUAGAAAGUUCAAUUUCCUACCAUUUCUCUCCAUAUUGAGAGGAAACGUCGAAACGUCAGAUGAGUUAAUUUCACCUCCUUUCUUUUCAUUUAUGAAAUUGAAUUGAUUUCAUUUCCUUUCUUCCCAUUUUCCCUCACUUCCCUCAAAACAAACAGACUAUAUUAAGAGUCAAUUAAUAAUAGUUACUCCAAGUUUUACAAACAUCUAAACCAUAUCAACUCAAUCAAAAUUUCCAAACAUAAAUCAUAUAAUUUAACUAAUUAAUCACAAUCUCAAUCCAAUAGUCCACUUCGAUGAACUCAAUUACAUCCUAACCAUUUUUUUUUUAAGUAUCACAGGAAAGAAAACUACCUUCUCAUCACAAGAGCGGCAA
rnacentral:misc_RNA from 1 species